rnacentral:rRNA from 1 species
UACGUAGGGUGCAAGCGUUAAUCGGAAUUACUGGGCGUAAAGCGUGCGCAGGCGGUUUUGUAAGUCUGUCGUGAAAUCCCCGGGCUUAACCUGGGAAUGGCGAUGGAGACUGCAAGGCUAGAAUCUGGCAGAGGGGGGUAGAAUUCCACGUGUAGCAGUGAAAUGCGUAGAGAUGUGGAGGAACACCGAUGGCGAAGGCAGCCCCCUGGGUCAAGAUUGACGCUCAUGCACGAAAGCGUGGGGAGCAAACAGG